GGUUUUUUGAUUAUAAUUUAAAAUUUGACCUGCUCAAUGAAAUUUUAAAUAGCUGCGGUAUAUUGACCGUACAAAGGUAGCAUAAUCAAUAGUUUUUUAAUUGAAAGCUGGAAUGAAUGGUUUAAUGAGAUAUAUUCUUUCUAAAAUUUAAUAUUUUAAAAUUUUUUUUUUAGUAAAAAAGCUAAUGUGAUAUUAUUAGACGAGAAGACCCUAUAGAUUUUUAUAAUUUAAUUAGAAAGAUUAAUUUAUUUUAUUUAAAAAUUAUUAAUUAAAUUAUUUGGUUGGGGUGAUUUUUAAAUUUAAUUAACUUUAAAUAAUUAAAAACAAUUAUUAUUGAGUUUUUGAUCCAAAAUUUUUGAUUAUUAGAUUAAAUUACCUUAGGGAUAACAGCGUAAUUUUUUUGGAGAGACCAUAUUGAUAAAAAAGUUUGC
rnacentral:rRNA from 1 species